rnacentral:rRNA from 1 species
GCCGUGNNGNNGUAGCUAAAUGCGGAAGAGAUAAGUGCUGAAAGCAUCUAAGCACGAAACUUGCCCCGAGAUGAGUUCUCCCUGAGACUAUAAGUCUCCUGAAGGAACGUUAAAGACGACGACGUUGAUAGGCCGGGUGUGUAAGCGCAGCGAUGCGUUGAGCUAACCGGUACUAAUGAACCGUGAGGCUUAACCUU